rnacentral:lncRNA from 1 species
UUGCUCUCUGUUUUCUCUACCUUUCCAGACAAUCAGCAGUGACACUCCAAUAUUUGAAAGAGAGUAUACCUACAUGAUUAAUACUACUGCUGUGCAAGCUCUUCCCACAACCACACUAGUGAUAACUCCUGGUGUCUACCUGCAGUCACUGAAAUAUUUCUACUUUUCCCAAGGUAGCUGCAAUGAGAGCAGAGGGAUUUGCAAACAGCAGUGUGUGAGAUGAGGAGGCUGUGCUGACAGCUAUGGGUGAGGUUCUGCUCUUUCUGUGUGAUCGAAGGUACAUAUCUGUCAGGGUGGCCAUGGAUACUGUCAACUGCAAGGUGUGAAACUUCUACAGUCUGUAGCUACAGUGUGUAAAUUGUUUCCUGCCACUCUAUAGAAUUUUUCUCCCUUAAUGAUAUGGAAGGAGAUAACUACUCACAGUGCUGACAGAGGCCUGAGUUUCAAAUCUCAGACUCAUCCACUUUUCUUUAUGGAAGUGCAAGUAUGCUGGAGAAGAUAUCUCUCUCAGGAAACUGUGGCUGUGCUGGAAUACAGCUUUCAGAUGAAAAUCUGUCUUUUAAACUGAAAUCAUCACAUCACCUAAAAGGAGAUGAAGCAGCCAGGACUACAGAGUGAAAUGUAAUACAAAACAAGAACACAACAAAAUGCAUUCCUCUCAAGUAAG